rfam:Brachypodium distachyon strain Bd21 chromosome 1, whole genome shotgun sequence.
GUAGUACUCCCUCCGUCCCACAUUAAGUGACUCAAAUUUUUCCAAAUAUAGAUGUAUCUAUGUCUAAAAAACGUCUAGAUACAUGUAAUAGAAAGUCACUUAAUAUGGGACGGAGGGAGUAGUUG